rnacentral:lncRNA from 1 species
CUUCCCGCCGCCUCCUUUGUGUGGCCGCGGGCCGCAGCGUCCCCGCGCCCGGCCUCCAGGACGCCCCCUCUCCGCCUGCGACUUCUCGGAUGCCGCCCCGCCAGGGGUCCGUGUCGUGGGGCUGCGCCCGGAACGCGCCGGGGAGACGCGCAGACCCCGAGACAUGCGAUGAGGCCAACGAUGAGGUCUCCCAAAGGAAAGUGAUUGAAGACAAAGACCCAUUCUGCCAGUGGGAUAUGCUGGGAAUACCAACUAUACUUGUUACUGAGUGUGCAUGGCUGGUGUUGGCCAGCCUUCCUGAUGCCAGCAAGAGGAGACAGAAGUAAUGACCCAAGCUACACUUUCCAUGACACUCAAAUGGCCAGGCUCUUUGACACCCACCGUGAGGGGCUGUUCCAAAGAUGUUGUGUUCCUACCUCAGUUGGUCCCCACAAGCAGCAGGUUCCUCCUCCAGUAUUCUCCAAUAUUUGACCCUUUUUGAGAUGCAUUUCUCAUAGAUGUGUACUUCCAAUCCACAUUUCCUUCCUACCUCUACCUCGGUUUUGUUUGAGAAAUCCAAAUCAUUUAACACUUCUACCUGCUGUUUCUUUGUGACUUCACAUUCACAGUGAAAUUUCAUUUUGUCCUGCAAUUGUGUGGCUUGCCUUAAUCCGCAAAUAGAGCUUCAAAUUGUUUAUUCCUUUGACCUGGAGUUUAGCCAGCUCCAGCUAGGCUCUGAGUUUGGCUUUGUGUCCAUAAGCCACAGUUGGGAGAAAUGCAAGAACUGCCCAAACAGAAUAAAACAAAUGAUCUAUUUAGUCUUGUUUCCUCUCUUGGAAGAAGUCCAGCGUUGAGUGCCUUGGAAUAAAUGAAAAUCCCCCACCCCACCUCCACUGCUCUCCCAUGCACCCAAACAGUAUGACCUUGUGUUUAAGUAAAAACCGUCCUUAGCUCCCAGUGGGAUGAUGGUGUUUUGUCUGGAAGACUGACGGAUGUUAUGAUAAUAAGAUAAUGGAUACUCACUUCUCUCCUAUCUAACCCCUAUUUAAAAGACAUUACACCGUAACAGUGCUUGUUACGCAAUAUUAUAGUUGCAAAUGUUGUUAUGGAAGAUUGUUUCAACCAGGGGAAAAGAGACUGGUAAUAACAGUACACUUAUACAAUUAGUUUCUGAAACUGUUGCAUUGCUUUGGGGUUUUUUUUUUUAGCUUAGAAAAGACAUUUAUCUUUUUAUUUCCCUUUAAAGUUGGCUUUCAAAUAAAUUCAAUUUCCUCUUUCUGUAACUUCUGAAACAGAUUAAACCAGA